AAAGAAAAAAAGGUUUUUAAGAAAAGAUCUUUAAAGUCAGAUGUGAUGCCUAAAAUAAAAUUGGCCUCAUUUUGUCCGUCACCUUUAGAUAGAUUGAAUCUACUACUCAGUAAUACUAGUGUUAUUAAAAAUACCAAUUUCCCUAAUAACUGUCAAGAAGGAUUUUUUACCAAUGGUUACCAGCUUUCUUUUUUUUACUCUUGGCAAAGGAAAAUUAAGCGGCAGGAGGAAUCAUUUUGAUGAGACCUGAGGAGGACGUCCUUCCUGGAAGAUCUCCCCUGAAGAAGUGAAAGUAAGUCUAGCCACUGGCAGCUUGAAGCUCUUCCAAUCUGAAAGUUGAAUUUUGCAAGUUUGAUUUGUGGUUGGAUAGAAAGAGGUGGUGAGCUGGAGUUGACUCAGAUGGGCCCAGGAGAGCUGAUUUCUAGCAUCUCUUCCCAGCUCCCGGUGAUCUCAUGUUGUAGUUUGAAAUUGGCGGUGGAAAUGCCUACCCCAGGGAUCCUGGUGAAUACACAGAUCAUGGUCCUUCCUCUAGAGCUGAUUGCUAAACGUUUGCCAGUAUAGCUACUGGUAUUUAGUGAAUAUUCUAUUGCUUUGUUUGGAGUCUACAGUUUAACAUAGUCUCUGAUUUUUCUAUUUCCUAUCCUGUUAAUUACGUCUUCUAGAAAAGCCAAGUAUGGCAUUUACAUAACAAAUAGCUUCUACAGUAAUGACAGAUUCCUCAACAUUGCUGAAGGGAUUUUUAGCGAAAGAAAGGGAUGAUUAGGUGAGGAAAGAGAAAGAAAUAUAAACUGAAAAAAGGGGGGGGGUGUUGGGAAGAAAGCAAGCAAAUUUGAAUAGCGACUGAAGAUUUUGGGCUUAAGGCCUAAUUUCAAGCUCUGAUCUUAAAUUCUCUUCUGAGAAGUUCUUGCCAUUCCCAGGUUUCCUUGUUAAUUCUGAUAAAGGGCAGGAAUGGAAUUUAGGGAGUUCUGUAUUAGGUCUGUUAGGUAGCUCACACUUCACACAGUGCUUUGUUCAGACUUCACCUGGUUCAUUUGUUCAGGACCCUGCAGGCGCUAGCUUAUCUCUGUUUAAUUUGGGAAAACUGGCCACUGCCAAGUGAGUUUUUUUACUGUUACCAUCAUAAACAUUCUACAGUUGUCCAGAUGGGGCAACCUGGUCUGUUCUAUUGGUGACAUUCCUAUUCAAAUAUUCCCAAGGAUCAUUAAGAGAACUUGUGCUACGUGAAACAUAUUUUCUCUGAGUGGAGCCUGACUCUUAAUUUUUGAAGGCUUUGGAGACUUGGUUAGUAAAUUCUAGAUUGUAAAAGUAAGGAAGAAAAAAGAUGUCUUUUUACUCACCAUUGUAUCAUUUAUAUCGACUAACAUAGAGCCUGGGUAUAGGCAAUAAUGUCAGUUGAAAGAAUGAGUAUUUUUCAUUGUAUUCAAGGUGCUCUGUAUUUAAAGUUGGUGAUCAGCAUUUUCCCAUCUUACAUUUCAGAUCUUUAGGCUUUUCUAUAUUAAUCCUUAACUAAAGUCAGAUUUGUUCAGUGAAGUAAAUAGCUGAACAAAAUGUUUAAAUAAAUAGUGAGUUUUUUUUUUUUUUUUCCAAGAUGGAAUUCCCAGGUCAAAGUGGUAAAAUUCCUUUGGUCUUAUAGAUCUCCUGAGUCUCUAUGUGAAGUUAUAAUAGCCUAUUGUUUUUUUGUUAAUACUGGCCUAUCUUGUUUAUAAAAGUCACAUGUGUUUGUUAAAGCGAAUUAGCAUUAAAUAAUGCUGUGUUCAGACUGUCAUCAUAUAAUGUGAAGUAUCUGAGAAAUCCUGAAGGGUUAUCAAAACCAAACCUGAGAAUUACUGAUGUAAACUCCGUCACUUUAUUCACUGAAUACCCGCAUUAUUACCAGCUUACAUGGUUUAAGUGUUAGGUCUUGAUAUCUGCUCGUAUUGAUGAACUAAUAUUAUACUUACACACUGCUUUAUAGGUAGGUCUUUUUCUCUAUCAUUAAUCACCCAAAUCCUUAAUUUUGUUACAGAUCUAAAAACAGAAUCACCAAGCAGUGAACUUGAACUGCAGCUGUGGCCUGGACUCGGCAUUCAAAGAUGACAAACUGACCUCUGGUUGUAGAGAUGUCUUGAAGAUGCUGAAGAUCAAUCACAGAAUUCACAGGAUGGAAGAAACUGUUUUACCGUAUGCAGUGAUCUGAGAUGCCAGUCACGUUUGUGGCCCUAUUCACAAAUCAGGGUGAUAAUUGUAACAGUGGUCCAUAGCAGCUGAGGAAUAUUUUGCAAUAUUAAACAAUUCAUAUUACUGUUAAAGUUUACAUACGAAGGUCCAGACAUAUGUGUUGACACUGGCAAUGGAUGAGCCUUGAACCCUUGAAUUGUCCUUACUGGCAAUAUGACACAAAUUAUGAAAAAAGCUUAUUUAUAACAACAUAACUAAUGCUUUUGAUGAAAUUAAGGGUCCAACCUUCUCCGACCUGUCGUUGAAGAUCAGGCUUGGAGAGCAAGGGUAGAGGUAGAGUUGGAAAGUGGUAACAUGCGCCAGGAGAUAUUUCAAAGAUACUACUCCUUUAACAAUAAUAAUCAAUUUUAUGGGUAGAGCAUAAUUUAACAAGUUUCCUAUUGAUAGUCUCCCCCCAUUCUCAUUAUAAAAACACCACAUUAUAAAUAACAACAUUUGUGGCUAAAUGUCAGCCCACUUUCAUUUCUAAGAAUUAGCCUGAAGAAGUAACAGUUUGGGACACAAUGAUGUUUGAACAUGUCGGCUAGAUUUCCAACUCUAGACCUAAUGCUAUGGCAAACAAAUAUGUCAAAGCAUAAAAUCCUCCAAAAGAGCUUUAGUAUUUAUUAAUUAGGGUUUGAUUUGGAAUGUUGGGGUCAGUUGAUUCCAAAUACUCCUUUCAUUUAUCUCAAGCUUGGGUAUUCCUCAAAAUGCAAGCCCCUCUCUUCUGCACCCUCUUGCCCAUUUCAUUCAGAGCUUCAUAUGGUGCUUUUCAGAGAAUAUAUAUAUUCAGCCAAUCCUCAGUCAAGGAUUCCACAUUUAUGAAUUCACCUACUCACCAAAAUAUAUUUGUAACCCCAGAGUGCUUUCAUGGUCAUUCAUGGCAUGUGCAGAGUGGUAAAAAAAUUUCAAUCACAUGAUGAGUAUGUUCCCAGUUGGGGUUGAAAAAGGCAGCUAUUCUGACUUCUUGUGUUAGUUCUUUUGCUGUAAACAAGUGUCCUUUUUGUAUUCUGUUUUCUAUUUAGUGCUAUAUUUUUUACAUUUUUGUUUUUUUGUUGGUGAUUUCACUGUUUAAAAUAGUCCCUCAGGUGUAGUGCUGCAGUGCUGUCUAGUAUUGAGUGCAAGAAGGCUGUGUGUACCUUACAGAGAAAAUGUGUUAGAUAAGCUUCAUUCAGGUGUGAGUUAUACUGCUGUUACAGUAUACUGAUAUAUUAAAUGAAUUAUCUUUAAACAAAAAUGCUCAAAACAAGGUUAUGUAUUGCUUGGUUGAUAAAAAUGUGACUAUUUUCCCUGGAAGCAGUGUUUCAGCAUUCACUAAUUCAGUGUUCAUGGCAACUUUAUAGAACAUGACUACCAUACAUAACAAGAAUUGGCUCACACACUCUCUCUCUUUAGUAUACCAUUGCCAUUUCAGACCACUUCUUUUCCAACGUUGUGGAAUUCAGUCCAUUUUAUGCCUCGUUCACUUAGCUGUCAUUUUCUGAUCUAAUUCAUUAUCUUUUCUCUCACCUCUACGGUCAACAAAGAUUAAUGUAGUUAAAUUUUUUUAUCUUUAAUGCCUUUUGCCUCUUAUUUAAGAAAUUCUUCCAUAUCCUGAGGUCAUAAAGGUAUUCUCCAGUAUAAUCUUUUAAAAGAUUUUCAGUUUUGACUUUCACAUUUAACUUUAUAAUCUACUUGGAAUUAAUAUUUUACAGUAUAAAAUAGAAGUACGAUUUGUUCUCACAGAUGUUUGAAUGUCCCAGAACCAUUUAUUGAAAGGACAGUCUUUCCCCCACUAGUACUUUGCAGUACCAUCUUUGUCAUUUAUCAGCAGUUUAUAUAUAGGUCUAUUUCAGUCUAUUUUGUUCUGUUUGUCUUUUGACCACUGUUGUGUCAAUAUCACACUAUAUUAAAUACUGUUUUUUAUUAGUCUUGUCACAGAAUAAUUCUUGCUUAUUCUUGCUUCUUCAAGAGUAGCAUGCCUAUUCUUGAUCAUUUGUGUUUCCUUAUCAAUUUUAGUAUCAGCUUCUCAAAUCCUACAAAUAAACUGCUAGUGAUUUUUAUUGGGAUUACACUGAUUUUGUAAUUCAUUUUGGAAGAGUUUAAAUAUUUCCAAUGUAGAGAUCUUCCAAAUUGCAUAGAUAUGGCAUAUCUCUCUAUGU